CCUACGGGGGGCUGCAGUGGGGAAUAUUGGACAAUGGGCGAAAGCCUGAUCCAGCCAUGCCGCGUGUGUGAAGAAGGCCUUCGGGUUGUAAAGCACUUUCAGUGGGGAAGAAAGCCUUGGGGCUAAUACCCUCGAGGAAGGACAUCACCCACAGAAGAAGCACCGGCUAACUCCGUGCCAGCAGCCGCGGUAAUACGGAGGGUGUGAGCGUUAAUCGGAAUUACUGGGCGUAAAGCGCGCGUAGGCGGUCUGAUAAGCCGGUUGUGAAAGCCCCGGGCUCAACCUGGGAACGGCAUCCGGAACUGUCAGGCUAGAGUGCAGGAGAGGAAGGUAGAAUUCCCGGUGUAGCGGUGAAAUGCGUAGAGAUCGGGAGGAAUACCAGUGGCGAAGGCGGCCUUCUGGACUGACACUGACGCUGAGGUGCGAAAGCGUGGGUAGCAAACAGGAUUAGAUACCCUGGUAGUC
rnacentral:rRNA from 1 species